UUCUCGAGAGGAGGAUCAAGGAAC
rnacentral:siRNA from 1 species